GACGAACGCUGGCGGCGUGCUUAACACAUGCAAGUCGAACGAAGUGGCGAACGGGUGAGUAACGCGUAAUCAACCUGCCCUUCAGAGGGGGACAACAGUUGGAAACGACUGCUAAUACCGCAUACUGAAGGUGGGGAUUGCGUCUGAUUAGCUAGUUGGAGGGGUAACGGGCCACCAAGGCGAUGAUCAGUAGCAGGGCUGCGGAGGUGAACGGCCACAUUGGGAAUGAGAAACGGCCCAGACUCCUACAGGAGGCAGCAGUGGGGAAGCUUCCGAAAUGGACGAAAGUCUGACGGAGCAACGCCGCGUGAGUGAUGACGGCCUUCGGGUUGUAAAACUCUGUUAAUCGGGACGCGGUACCGGAAUAGAAAGCCACGGCUAACUACGUGCCAGCAGCCGCGGUAAUAC
rnacentral:rRNA from 1 species